rnacentral:misc_RNA from 1 species
GAUGAAGAACGCAGCGAAAUGCGAUACGUAAUGUGAAUUGCAGAAUUCAGUGAAUCAUCGAGUCUUUGAACGCACAUUGCGCCCCCUGGUAUUCCGGGGGGCAUGCCUGUCCGAGCGUCAUUGCUGCCCUCAAGCACGGCUUGUGUGUUGGGCCUCCGUCCUCCUCCCGGGGGACGGGCCCGAAAGGCAGCGGCGGCACCGCGUCCGGUCCUCGAGCGUAUGGGGCUUCGUCACCCGCUCUUGUAGGCCCGGCCGGCGCUUGCCGACACAUCAAUCUUUUUUCCAGGUUGACCUCGGAUCAGGUAGGGAUACGCGCUGAACUUAAGCAUAUCAAUAAGCGGAGGA